rnacentral:rRNA from 1 species
CAAUAGCGUAUAUUAAAGUUGUUGCAGUUAAAAAGCUCGUAGUUGAAUUUUUGCUUGCCGCCGAUGUCGGAACUUCCGUACGUUCGGCGGCGUGCAUCCUUGGGUGGAACCUGUGUGGCAUUAGGUUGUCGUGCAGGGGAUGCUCAUCGUUUACUGUGGAAAAAUUAGAGUGUUCAAAGCAGGCUUACGCCGUUGAAUAUAUUAGCAUGGAAUAAUAAGAUAGGACCUUGGUACUAUUUUGUUGGUUUGCGCACCGAGGUAAUGAUUAACAGGGACAGUUGGGGGUAUUCGUAUUCCAUUGUCAGAGGUGAAAUUCUUGGAUUUCUGGAAGACGAACUACUGCGAAAGCAUUUACCAAGGAUGUUUUCAUUAA